GAUGAAGAACGUAGUGAAAUGCGAUACGUAAUGUGAAUUGCAGAAUUCAGUGAAUCAUCGAGUCUUUGAACGCACAUUGCGCCCCCUGGUAUUCCGGGGGGCAUGCCUGUCCGAGCGUCAUUGCUGCCCUCAAGCACGGCUUGUGUGUUGGGCCUCCGUCCUCCUCCCGGGGGACGGGCCCGAAAGGCAGCGGCGGCACCGCGUCCGAUCCUCGAGCGUAUGGGGCUUCGUCACCCGCUCUUGUAGGCCCGGCCGGCGCUUGCCGACACAUCAAUCUUUUUUCCAGGUUGACCUCGGAUCAGGUAGGGAUACCCGCUGAACUUAAGCAUAUCAAUAAGCGGAGGA
rnacentral:misc_RNA from 1 species